rnacentral:rRNA from 1 species
UCUCUUGGUUCUGGCAUCGAUGAAGAACGCAGCGAAAUGCGAUAAGUAAUGUGAAUUGCAGAAUUCAGUGAAUCAUCGAAUCUUUGAACGCACAUUGCGCCCUUUGGUAUUCCGAAGGGCAUGCCUGUUCGAGCGUCAUUUCACCAC